rnacentral:rRNA from 1 species
UACGUAGGGGGCAAGCGUUGUCCGGAUUUAUUGGGCGUAAAGAGCUCGUAGGUGGUUUGGUAAGUCGGAUGUGAAAUCUCCAGGCUCAACCUGGAGGGGUCAUUCGAUACUGCCAUGACUAGAGGUCGGUAGGGGAGUGUGGAAUUCCUGGUGUAGCGGUGAAAUGCGCAGAUAUCAGGAGGAACACCGGUGGCGAAGGCGGGACUCUGGGCCGAUACUGACGCUGAGGAGCGAAAGCGUGGGGAGCGAACAGG